rnacentral:rRNA from 1 species
GAUGAACGCUGGCGGCGUGCCUAAUACAUGCAAGUCGAGCGAACAGACGAGGAGCUUGCUCCUCUGACGUUAGCGGCGGACGGGUGAGUAACACGUGGAUAACCUACCUAUAAGACUGGGAUAACUUCGGGAAACCGGAGCUAAUACCGGAUAAUAUAUUGAACCGCAUGGUUCAAUAGUGAAAGACGGUUUUGCUGUCACUUAUAGAUGGAUCCGCGCCGCAUUAGCUAGUUGGUAAGGUAACGGCUUACCAAGGCAACGAUGCGUAGCCGACCUGAGAGGGUGAUCAGCCACACUGGAACUGAGACACGGUCCAGACUCCUACGGGAGGCAGCAGUAGGGAAUCUUCCGCAAUGGGCGAAAGCUUGACGGAGCAACGCCGCGUGAGUGAUGAAGGUCUUCGGAUCGUAAAACUCUGUUAUUAGGGAAGAAAAAAUGUGUAAGUAACUAUGCACGUCUUGACGGUACCUAAUCAGAAAGCCACGGCUAACUACGUG